rnacentral:tRNA from 1 species
GAGGCCUUAGCUCAGUUGGUAGAGCACCGCCUUGCAAGGCGGUGUCAGGGUUCGAUUCCCUAGGCUCCA